AUGGCAGCGCCGACCUCCUCCGCCUCUGCCUGCUCCGGCGAGCGGUGGCCCCCGCUCGAGUCCAGACCCGAAGUCUUCAACCAGUUCAUGUGGUCGCUGGGUGUCCCGCGGGGCGAGGCCGAGUUCCACGACGUGUACGGGCUAGACGCCGACGCGCUGGCCAUGGUGCCCCAGCCCGUGCUCGCCGUCGUCUUCUGCUUCCCCGAUCCGCCCGAGGAUCCAGCAGCCCCUCCAGAACAAGUCUCAGCUACUGAAGACAAGGAAAGUUUGGAUGGGGUGUAUUUCAUAAAACAGAUCGACUCAUUAGGAAAUGCUUGUGGAACUAUCGCUUUACUUCAUGCUGUUGGAAAUGCAUGUUCAGAAAUCAGUCUAUUGGAGAAUUCAGGCUUGGACCUGUUUUUCAAAUCAACAGCCAGCAUGGACCCGUAUGAGCGUGUCAGAGUGUUGGAGAAGGACGAUGACAUGGCAAGAGCUCACUCAUUGGCUGCCAAUGCUGGUGACACAGAGAUCGGUGACAUUGUAGAAGAGCAUUAUGUUUGUUUCACAACUCUCAAUGGGACACUUUACGAGCUCGAUGGAAUAAAGGGUGGACCAAUAAAGCAUGGUCCCUCAUCUCCUGAAAGUUUACUGCAGGAUGCCGUGAAUGUCAUCAAGGCGAUGAUGCAGAGGAUUCCCAAUUCGGUAAACUUCAAUGUGAUGGUGCUAUCGAGGAAACUGAAGUAA
rnacentral:rRNA from 1 species